CAAACUCGCCCACUUUCUCUUAUCUUCAAUAGUGUGAGAUUCUUGCUUCCAAUACAACAAAUUGGGCAUGAAUCUAAGGCUCAUAUACAAUGGGAACAUAGAUAUCCAUAUUUUGUUUUCUAAUUUUGCUGGUUCAUAGUUUUUCCUGAUUUCUUUGAACAUGCCAUCAAAUGGGUUUGAGUGGUUUCUUCAAAUGAGUCUUUUGGAUUUUUCAGUGAAAGUGAAAGACGGAUUCGCCCUUUGAAGUUCUUCGUUAGCUAUCUCGACGGAAAUAUUACAUCAGCAAACACAUAGCCAAUCUGAUAUUGAUCAGUGUAAAGCAUAUUACGAAGUUACGGGAGGAGAAAAGAAAAGAAGAGUAUAUGGUCUUGGAUCUCAAGCAAAAUGCUACUACGGGCCGAAUCUUCAUGACUCUUUUGGAUCUGAUGCAAUAUCCUCAGCAACACCUUCAAAUGCUCAAUCAACACCGAUAGGGAAUAUGGAUAAGUUAGUGACACAAUUGAUUCUUGUACUGACAGAUCAUAUAGUUCCUGUAAUCAUUGAGCGGGUACGCGAAUUAGUUUCUUUACCCUCGCAUCAGCCAAAUAUUGAUCUUACCAACCACCCAUCAGAUGUGACACCUAUAGUUCCUACCUCUUCUAUUGUUGCUAGCAUUGAUGAGGUUCAUGCAUUGGGUUCUGACGAUGACCAUGACUCUCCGGCCUCACAUAGUUAGCCUAUUUUGUUUAAACUUUAUUGUUGGUGCUUGUGGAUGUUUUGUACUUAACGAUACAAUUAUAUGCAUUAUGCUAUAUAUUUUGGA